rnacentral:lncRNA from 1 species
AGACGUUCCUGCGACACAUGUUAUACAUUACUACAUUGCUGCUGAAAAAAUUGUUUGGAACUAUGCGCCCUCUGGUGUAGAUUCCUUCACUAAAAAACAUUUAACAGCAUCUGGAAGUGAAUCCCAGCUACAUUUUGAACAAAGUACAACCAGAAUUGGAGGAUCUUACAAAAAGCUAGUUUACCGUGAAUACACAGAUGCCUCCUUCCAAACACCGAAGGCAAGAGAAGAGCACCUCGGAAUCCUUGGCCCUGUUAUUAAGGCAGAAGUGGGACAGAUCAUCAAGGUCACUUUUUAUAACAAGGCUUCCCUGCCCCUCAGCAUUCAGCCUCAUGGACUACGUUACAACACGAGCAAUGAGGGGGCCCACAGAACACCUGGAGGAGGUAAGUAAGGCUCGAGGGAGGCCCAUGCAAGCC